rnacentral:lncRNA from 1 species
AAGAACCCUUCUCCCAUGAACCCUAAUGAGCACCGCCCUAAAAUUCACCAUUGCCGGUGGCGGCGCCACCUUCAAGCUCUCCCAAAAUCACAUCCCUUAAUAACCUCGACCCCCUCAAUCCAAAUAUACAACUAUUGGCCGUCGAAUAUCAAUCAAGCACUCCAGAAAUCAAAUCGAAAUUCACGGUUGAGUUUCAAGUUCGUCCAAACAAACCCAAAUUGGUACUUGGCAGUGUAUGGACCUUCUCCACCUCAAACCCAUGGUCGUUUCACUUCAACCCUCAACAAGACGCCCUCAAUUCCAUCUAGGGUUCGUGAGUUUAGCCUAGUUUGGGAAUUUUUCUUACGGUGAGUCUUCCUUUAUUUUAUGACUCUAGUUUAUAAGUUUAAUAGUCUCGUCUUCUUCUCCUCCUUAUCUGUCAAUAGGGUCAAUUGUAGGAAUUGUUCUUAGACAGUUUGAUUUCAUACCUUUUGAGUUUAGGCAUGUUGAUUAGCUUGAGUCUCGUUUAUUCUUUAGUUAUUAGUUUGCUUCAGCAUUAGGAGUAAGUUUAAAUCUAGAAGUAAGUUUAAAUUUCUAAUUUACUGUUAGCUUAAUUAGUCAGUAGGAUUAGUUGUUUAUCAACCAUUUUAACAUCAUUCCUAGAUAAUAUUAGUUGAAUAAGUCGUGUUAAAAAUAUGCAUGUUGAAUGCUUACCUGCUGUUCUAUUUCUUCUGGUUUAAUUAUUGUUUCUCUGUUUACUGUUAGCUUAGGUCGAUUCUCUUUCUUAAUUACUGUAGCUUGUUAAUAAGUUUGGGUUUAGUAGUUAUUCAGACUUAUUUAAAGUUGGGACUUGGAAUUGGUUUCAAUUAGGGCUAUCUGUGCAUCUUAGUGUUAAUGAACAGUUAGGUUGGUUAUAGCUGAACAGUUAUGUAGUUAACCUUUGUUUGUAUUGUUAAGGGUUGAGGUUUGGUAAGGUUAGGAGUAGUCAGUAAUUUCAGGGGGGUUUCAGGGGCUUUUUAGGGAUAGCAAAGGGUAGAAUCUUUAGAGUAGUUAACCUUAGUUAGUUUUGUUAAGGGUUGAGGUUUGGGUAAGGUUAGGUAUAGUCAGUAAUUUCAGGGGGGUUUCAGGGGCUUUUUAGGGAUAGAAAAGGGUAGAAUCUAUAGGAUUUGUAAUUUUUAUAGCAGGGGAAGGGUAGUUUACGAAUUGUCUUGCUCAAAGAGUGCCCUAGAGGCUUCUACAAUAGGACUAGUAUGUAGUUUUCAGUAGACAUUGGGUACUUACUUGAGUAGCAAGUCAUAAAAUAAGAGUUUUAUGCUGAGAAUAAUUAGUGGCUGUGAGUGUAUAGAAAAAUCCGAGGGCUGCCCUAUUUGGCUCCUAUAUAAGGGCACUAUUUGCUUUGAGAAAGGGGUAUUGAAUUUUCCGCUAAAAAAUUACACAAGAAAUCUGUUUUUCUUUUUAUUUUUAGCUUCAGAAUAGUUUCAACAUUCAAAUACAAAAACUACCCCAAAAAUACAUACAAAAAUAGAAAACAACAAAAAAUUUUGCACUGUUUCAUUGAUUGCGAGCAUAUUCUGGAUAUUCUUUAGAGUUCUACAUUAUAGCUUGGUCUGGGGGCUUGUUUUGAAUUGGAUUUGGUUUAUUUCUGCUGGUUUGUGGUUUUGCUGCAUUUACAAAUUGCUGGGUUUAUAUUUGGCACUUCUGGGUUUAUUAUGGCUAUUGGAUUUCUGGACUUUUGAAUUAGAUUGUGCACUGUUGUUUGUUGCUGCUCAAGUCUGUUGCUGACCUCCUUUGUUUCUGUUUGAAAUUUUUAUCCAGGUACACCCCUGAAGCUUUAUUGAUGUAGAAUUUCCUUUGAUAGUGGAAUGAGAAAAAGACGAUUUGCUAGUUAUGAAUUGGAAUCCCUAUUUGUGUUUAAUUAAAUUUUAGUUGAAGUUAUUUAGUAGUCUCUUAAGCUCAUUUGAUGUUCAUAUUGAAAUUAUGGAAGAUUGUAUGUGACUGAGAUCUAUAAUGAGG